AAGUCCUUCGGGAUGAGUAGAGUGGCGCACGGGUGAGUAACGCGUAAGUAAUCUAUCCCUGUAUCUGGAAUAACUAUGGGAAACUGUAGCUAAUACCGCAUACGCCCUACGGGGGAAAGGCUUCGGCCGCAUUUGGAUGAGCCCGCGUAAGAUUAGCUAGUUGGUGGGGUAAUGGCCUACCAAGGCUACGAUCUUUAACUGGUCUGAGAGGACGAUCAGUCACACUGGAACUGAGACACGGUCCAGACUCC
rnacentral:rRNA from 1 species